UGGGGAAUAUUGGACAAUGGGCGAAAGCCUGAUCCAGCCAUGCCGCGUGUGUGAAGAAGGCCUUUUGGUUGUAAAGCACUUUAAGCGAGGAGGAGGCUACUUAGAUUAAUACUCUAGGAUAGUGGACGUUACUCGCAGAAUAAGCACCGGCUAACUCUGUGCCAGCAGCCGCGGUAAUACAGAGGGUGCGAGCGUUAAUCGGAUUUACUGGGCGUAAAGCGUGCGUAGGCGGCUUUUUAAGUCGGAUGUGAAAUCCCUGGGCUUAACUUAGGAAUUGCAUUCGAUACUGGGAAGCUAGAGUAUGGGAGAGGAUGGUAGAAUUCCAGGUGUAGCGGUGAAAUGCGUAGAGAUCUGGAGGAAUACCGAUGGCGAAGGCAGCCAUCUGGCCUAAUACUGACGCUGGGGUACGAAAGCAUGGGGAGCAAACAGG
rnacentral:rRNA from 1 species